rnacentral:lncRNA from 1 species
GGUGCUUCCAGCGGACGGCAGCGCGCGAGGUGAGACGGCGAGGGCUCCCGGGGCGCAGACCAGGCCAGGCGUCAAAGCAAGUCACCCAUCCGACCUAAACCCCUCUAAGACCCCGGAGUCACGUCUCCCUCCGGGGAUCCUCGUGAGGUCUUGGGGGUCCCACCGCCCUGCGAGCCGCGCCCGCGCCCCGCCAGACCCGGAACUGCGUCGCUAGGUUUGCGCUGGAGCUGCUGGGAUUGCUGGGCAUGGGUGGGGGGGCGCAGAGGAGGAGGGGGGAUUGGAGGGACCUCUGCGGAGCUGGCAGACCCCGGUACUACUGUCCUGGCGCACCCAGCCCUUCUCUGUACCAGGCCGGGAGAGGGAGGCGGCGCCGCAGAGCCUCGGGUGCAGUCUGAGAAGUUUGGGAGUGACUUGAAGAGUGACUGGAAGCACCCCAGACCCGGUUUGUCCGGUCACAGCCGGGUCCUUACGUGAGUUAGGAGAGGAGUGGGGGUCGGACGGGAGCCCCACUGAGAGUAA